UUCUUGAGGGUGGGGCAGGGGACAACACAAGCAAGAGAAACUCACAUGACCCUUCCCCCACUCACCAGCGCAGCAGAUGUGUCCAUCCUUCCAUGGCCCUUUAGAGCAAAUGUGCUGGAUCACAGCCCACAGGACCAAACUCAUCUUGAUUUAGGAAGUGGGCUCCUCUAGCAUCAUGUCUAAUGAGCACAAUUAGAGAAGAGGAAGGAGGAAAGGAGAGAGAGAUUGUAAACAGGUCAAAAUCUUACUAGGUGUCUUACCCUGGAAGGUGGUAGCUGCCUGGUCAACAUUCCUGCCACUAACAGCUACGUGAUGCUUCUGUUCUGCAUUUGUUCUGCAUAAAACGUCAUCAGGCGGGCAGCCUGAAGAAAUGCCCAGCGAAGGGAAGCACUUCCAGUGGGAAACCUCAAUGUCGAGUUUAGCGUGACUCACAUGACAGAUUCUUAAGCAGCAUCUAUGCGGUUCUUCUACCCUACCCCAACCAGCCCAAGAUCAACUGGGCCACCCUCCCCCAAACACUCCCAUUCAGAGUUCACCCACCUGUGGGAUCCUCGGAUCACUGACUUCUACAUAAUGAUUAAGCUACUGUGUAGUAACAGUGAAGAAAAAACAGUGGCUUAAUCAUUAUUUUCUGAAAACUAUACCUGUCUUUGA